rnacentral:rRNA from 1 species
AUGCAAAUUCACAUGUUUUCACUUUCCCGAUGUGGGCGCAGAGGUGAUCGACGCAGACUACCGCGACUCGGUGGGCGUCGUGCUCUUCAACAACUCGGAGGCGGACUUUGCUGUGAAGCCCGGCGACCGCGUCACACAGAUGAUUCUCCAUGUGAUUGCGAUGCCGGAGGUCGCCGAGGUGGAGGACCUUGA